rnacentral:rRNA from 1 species
UACGGGGGGGGCAAGCGUUGUUCGGAAUUACUGGGCGUAAAGGGCGCGUAGGCGGCCAACUAAGUCAGACGUGAAAUCCCCAGGCUCAACUUGGGAACUGCGUCUGAUACUGGAUGGCUUGAAUUCGGGAGAGGGAUGCAGAAUUCCAGGUGUAGCGGUGAAAUGCGUAGAUAUCUGGAGGAAUACCGGUGGCGAAGGCGGCAUCCUGGACCGAUAUUGACACUGAUGAGCGAAAGCUAGGGGAGCAAACGGG